rnacentral:rRNA from 1 species
UACGUAGGGUGCAAGCGUUGUCCGGAAUUAUUGGGCGUAAAGAGCUCGUAGGCGGUCUGUCGCGUCGGCUGUGAAAACCCGAGGCUCAACCUCGGGCCUGCAGUCGAUACGGGCAAACUAGAGUACUGCAGGGGAGACUGGAAUUCCUGGUGUAGCGGUGAAAUGCGCAGAUAUCAGGAGGAACACCAGUGGCGAAGGCGGUUGCCUGGGGCUUUGCUGACGCUGAUGCGCGAAAGCGUGGGGAGCGAUCCGG